rnacentral:rRNA from 1 species
GCCCAGACUCCUACGGGAGGCAGCAGUGGGGAAUAUUGGGCAAUGGACGCAAGUCUGACCCAGCAACGCCGCGUGAAGGAAGAAGGCUUUCGGGUUGUAAACUUCUUUUAAGGGGGAAGAGCAGAAGACGGUACCCCUUGAAUAAGCCACGGCUAACUACGUGCCAGCAGCCGCGGUAAUACGUAGGGGGCAAGCGUUAUCCGGAUUUGCUGGGUGUAAAGGGGGCGCAGACGGCGAUGCAAGCCAGGAGUGAAAGCCCGGGGCCCAACCCCGGGACUGCUCUUGGAACUGCGUGGCUAGAGUGCAGGAGGGGCAGGCGGAAUUCCUGGUGUAGCGGUGAAAUGCGUAGAUAUCAGGAGGAACACCGGUGGCGAAGGCGGCCUGCUGGACUGCAACUGACGUUGAGGCCCGAAAGCGUGGGGAGCAAACAGGAUUAGAUACCCCGGUAG